UACAGAGGCCUCGAGCGUUAGGCGGAAUCACUGGGCUUAAAGCGUGUGUAGGCGGACUUCUAAGUACCUUGUGAAAUCCCACGGCUUACCCGUGGAACUGCUGGGUAUACUGGUUGUCUUGAGCCACUUAGGGGCUACCGGAACAAAUGGUGGAGCGGUGAAAUGCGUAGAGAUCCGGAAGAACACCGGUGGCGAAGGCGGCCUGCUGGGCUAUGGCUGACACUGAGGCGCGACAGCGUGGGGAGCAAACAGG
rnacentral:rRNA from 1 species